AUGUCUGAUUCAGUUUGUGUUUCCCUCCCAGCUGCUCUGGCUCAACAGAAAUGUCCAUUCCUGAACGUAAUUAAGAGUGUUUUUCUGCACUCGGAUGAGGAAGGAUGUGUAUCAGCUGGAGCUGUAGAGCGUCAUCUCCGUCACAUCGGGAUCUUGAGUCUCCAGAUCCUGCCGGCAGCUUUCUCUGAUCACAUACACCACCAGUCCCACACAGAUAAAGAUGAGCAGCACUAUACCCAGCACCUGUUCAUGAGAGAUCAACAGUGCUGUCUGUGACGCUUCUGCUCACCUACUGGAGACGUUUAUGACACGCGAGUGAAUCACAAAAGAACACGUCUUCAGAAUGUGUAAAAAAAAAAAAACAAAUCUACAUAUAAAUAUAUUGCUUUUAAAAUAUCAAGUAUUCAUACAUCAUGGCAGUAUCUUUUGUUCUUUUUUAUUUAUUUUGAUUUGAAUUAAAAAACAUUUUAACUUUAUACAUUUAAUUAAAAUAAUUUUUUAAUAGACUUAUAUAUAUAUAUAUAUAUAUACACACACACACACACACUAUUUUUAAUGUUUUUGAAAGAAGUUUCUUCUGCUCAUCAAGUCUGCAUUUAUUUGAUCAAAAAUAUAUUGUGAUAUAUUAUUACAACUUAAUAUAAUAGUUUUCUAUUUGAAUAUACUUUUAAAAAAAAUAAUUUAUUCCUGUGAUGCAAAGCUGAAUUUUCAGCAUCAUUCCUCCAGCCUUCAGUGUCACAUGAUCAUUUAGAAAUCAUUCUAAUAUUCUGAUUUAUUAUGAGUGUUGGAAACAGUUCUGCUGUCUAAUAUAUGUGAUCAAUAAAAGGUUAAAAAGAACUGCAUUUAUAAAAAAUAAAAAAAUAAAAAAAUUAAAUUCUAAUAAUAUAUAUUCUUUACUAUCACUUUUUAUCAAUUUAACACAUCCUUGCUGAAUAAAAGUAUUGAUUUUAUUUUAAAAAAAAGAAAGAAAAAAAUUACGGACCAGUAGUGUAUAUUGUUAUUACAAAAUAUUUAUAUUUUAAAAACAUAGCUUCUUUUUUUUUAUUAUUCAUCAAAAUAUCCUAAAAAAGUAUCCGAUGUUCUGAAAAAAUAUGAAGCAGCAGAACUGUUUCCAACUUUGAUAAUGAAUCGUCAUAUUAGAAUGAUUUCUAAAGGAUCAUGUGAUAAUGAUCCUAAAAAUUCAGCUUUGCAUCCCAGAAAUAAAUGAUCAUUUAAAGUAUAAUCAAUUUAAAAACAAUUAUU
rnacentral:lncRNA from 1 species